rnacentral:rRNA from 1 species
GAUGAACGCUGGCGGCGUGCCUAAUACAUGCAAGUCGAGCGAACAGACGAGGAGCUGCUCCUCUGACGUUAGCGGCGGACGGGUGAGUAACACGUGGAUAACCUACCUAUAAGACUGGGAUAACUUCGGGAAACCGGAGCUAAUACCGGAUAAUAUAUUGAACCGCAUGGUUCAAUAGUGAAAGACGGUUUUGCUGUCACUUAUAGAUGGAUCCGCGCCGCAUUAGCUAGUUGGUAAGGUAACGGCUUACCAAGGCAACGAUGCGUAGCCGACCUGAGAGGGUGAUCGGCCACACUGGAACUGAGCCACGGUCCAGACUCCUACGGGAGGCAGCAGUAGGGAAUCUUCCGCAAUGGGCGAAAGCCUGACGGAGCAACGCCGCGUGAGUGAUGAAGGUCUUCGGAUCGUAAAACUCUGUUAUUAGGGAAGAACAAAUGUGUAAGUAACUAUGCACGUCUUGACGGUACCUAAUCAGAAAGCCACGGCUAACUACGUG